rnacentral:lncRNA from 1 species
GCCAUGAGGGCGGGAACCCUCGUACGCGGAAGUUCAUGAGGGCGGGACCCUCGUACGCGGAAGGUCAUGAGGGCGGGACCCUCGUACGCGGAAGUUCAUGCGGGCGGGACCCUCGUACGUGGAAGGUCAUGAGGGCGGGACCCUCGUACGUGGAAGGUCAUGAGGGCGGAACCCUGGUACAUGAAAUUCGUUCUCUUAUUUAAGAGACAAAGAACGCCCUUGUUUUUUCCACCACGUGAUGGCGCAGACAGAAGACAACCAGCAUCUAUGAACCAGGAAGCCCCCACCAGGCACUGAAUCUGCCCCUGCGUGGAUCUUAGACUUGCAGACUCCAGAACUAACCUUACAAUGUCUCUUCUCCAUUAAGAAAACCUACUUCAACAUCUCCAUUGGUUCUCAACAUAGAGGUCCAAAUUUUGGUCUGGAGCCAGAGACAAUAUAGGAUGAAGUUUGAUUUGUUCCAAAACCCACAGAAAUCUCUAAAAUGGAAGAAUUUUCUUAGAACCAAAAGGCAUGGAAUUGAUGACAUGAAACUGGUACACACCCAUCCCUUCCCAAAAGAGCCCUCAAAGGCGGCCACCCCUGCUGGAGAGUCCCUGGCCAUGUGGGGCACCAAACCUUUGCAGUAGUCGUGCUGUCUCUCCAAUUAUCCUUCCCUCAUCCUUUGAUUAACUAACUGCUCUCCGAACAAAGACUGUGCUUCCAGGAGCUCCUGUUUUCAUACACAGUCCUCCGGGACAAGCCAGCAGCACUCAAAGUGGGCCUGGAGCCAGGAUCUGGACUGGAGAAGUGAUGGACUCUGGAUAAGGGGCAGCCCGCCCUGUGUCCCAGUUUUCUUCCAGUGAAGUGAGAAGGCUUUAAUAAGCUAGCUGAGGAGCAAGGAGCAAGUGAGAACCACCUGGAAAGCAUUUAGAGCAAUUCCUGGCAGAUGGAAAGUACUUAAUUAUAUAAUGUUUUCCUUUUACUCCCACAGCGCCAUAGGCAUCCUUCUGUCUGAAAUGCCCCCAUGCUGCCUCUCAAUCUUCUCUCUGCCUGCCUGCCUUGCCCACUCUUUACAUCUUUGUCUAUAUAAAAUGCAGCUGGCAAUAGA